rnacentral:rRNA from 1 species
GAUGAACGCUGGCGGCGUGCCUAAUACAUGCAAGUCGAGCGAACGGACGAGAAGCUUGCUUCUCUGAUGUUAGCGGCGGACGGGUGAGUAACACGUGGAUAACCUACCUAUAAGACUGGGAUAACUUCGGGAAACCGGAGCUAAUACUGGAUAAUAUUUUGAACCGCAUGGUUCAAAAGUGAAAGACGGUCUUGCUGUCACUUAUAGAUGGAUCCGCGCUGCAUUAGCUAGUUGGUAAGGUAACGGCUUACCAAGGCAACGAUGCAUAGCCGACCUGAGAGGGUGAUCGGCCACACUGGAACUGAGACACGGUCCAGACUCCUACGGGAGGCAGCAGUAGGGAAUCUUCCGCAAUGGGCGAAAGCCUGACGGAACAACGCCGCGUGAGUGAUGAAGGUCUUCGGAUCGUAAAACUCUGUUAUUAGGGAAGAACAUAUGUGUAAGUAACUGUGCACAUCUUGACGGUACCUAAUCAGAAAGCCACGGCUAACUACGUG